rnacentral:rRNA from 1 species
CAGCAGCCGCGGGAAUACGAAGGGUGCAAGCGUUACUCGGAAUUACUGGGCGUAAAGCGUGCGUAGGUGGUGGUUUAAGUCCGUUGUGAAAGCCCUGGGCUCAACCUGGGAAUUGCAGUGGAUACUGGGUCACUAGAGUGUGGUAGAGGAUAGUGGAAUUUCCGGUGUAGCAGUGAAAUGCGUAGAGAUCGGAAGGAACACCAACGGCGAAAGCACUCUGUUGGGCCAACACUGACACUGAGAGACGAAAGCUAGGGGAGAAAAUGGGAUUAGAUACCCGCGUAGUCCCUGUCUCUUAUAC